UUUCCGUAGGUGAACCUGCGGAAGGAUCAUUACUGAGUGAGGGCCCCCCGGGGUCCAACCUCCCACCCGUGUUUAACGAACCUUGUUGCUACGGCGGGCCCGCCUCACGGCCGCCGGGGGGCAUCUGCCCCCGGGCCCGCGCCCGCCGAAGCCACCUGUGAACGCUGUCUGAAGUAUGCAGUCUGAGACAAUUAUUAAAUUAAUUAAAACUUUCAACAACGGAUCUCUUGGUUCCG
rnacentral:misc_RNA from 1 species